GACAGGGGCGGUACGUCUGUCAAAGGGUAACGCAGGUGUCCCAAGGCGAGCUCAGCGUGGACGGAAACCACACGUCAAGCAAAAGGGCAAAAGCUCGCUCGAUCUCGAUUUUCAGUAUGAUUGUCAUCAGUUUAAAUCAAAUCUAGG
rnacentral:ncRNA from 1 species